GCAAAUGACUUGAACGAAUGGGGAGGAGGUCCAACCCAUCCAAACAGGAUCACCUGUCCAAACAGGAUCGAAUUUCAACAAUGUCCUUAGACAAUCGCGGACGUGGGUUGUGAAAAAGAAUCCAAAAUUUUUUUGGAGGGAUAAGGAGGCCGUCAUAGCCACAGUGACGAAGACAAGGAUAGAGAUGGAACAGGGUAGAACCCUGCAGGGCAACCUGGA